rnacentral:rRNA from 1 species
UGGGGAAUAUUGCGCAAUGGCCUAACGGCUGACGCAGCGACGCCGCGUGUGGGAGGACGCCCCUCGGGGUGUAAACCACUGUUGCCCGGGACGAACAACUCCAUUCAUGGGGUCUGACGGUACCGGGUGAGGAAGCACCGGCUAACUCCGUGCCAGCAGCCGCGGUAAUACUGAGGGUGCGAGCGUUGUCCGGAAUCACUGGGCGUAAAGGGCGCGUAGGUGGCCCCGUAAGUGUGUGGUGAAAGCCCGGGGCUCAACCCCGGGUCGGCCAUGCAAACUGGGGGGCUGGAGCAUUGUAGAGGCAGGCGGAAUUCCGGGUGUAGCGGUGGAAUGCGUAGAGAUCCGGAAGAACACCGGUGGCGAAGGCGGCCUGCUGGGCAAUUGCUGACACUGAGGCGCGACAGCGUGGGGAGCAAACAG